GAUGAAGAACGCAGCGAAAUGCGAUAAGUAAUGUGAAUUGCAGAAUUCAGUGAAUCAUCGAAUCUUUGAACGCACAUUGCGCCCCUUGGUAUUCCGAGGGGCAUGCCUGUUCGAGCGUCAUUAUAACCCCUCAAGCUCAGCUUGGUGUUGGGGCCUGCUGCACUGGCAGCCCUUAAAAUCAGUGGCGGCGCCAUCUGGCUCUAAGCGUAGUAAUUCUUCUCGCUAUGGAGUCCUGGUGGAUGCUUGCCAUCAACCCCCAAUGUUUCUAUGGUUGACCUCGGAUCAGGUAGGGAUACCCGCUGAACUUAAGCAUAUCAAUAAGCGGAGGA
rnacentral:misc_RNA from 1 species